UACGUAGGGGGCUAGCGUUGUCCGGAUUUAUUGGGCGUAAAGAGCUCGUAGGUGGUUCGAUAAGUCAGGUGUGAAAACUCUGGGCUCAACUCAGAGACGCCACUUUGAUACUGUCGUGACUUUGAGUCUGGGUAGGGGAGUGUGGAAUUCCCCGGUGUAGCGGUGAAAUGCGCAGAAUAUCGGGAGGAACACCAUGGCGAAGGCAGCUCGCUGGGGACGUGACUGACGCUGAGACGCGAAAAGCUGGGGGAGAAACAG
rnacentral:rRNA from 1 species